rnacentral:rRNA from 1 species
CCUACGGGCUGCAGCAGUGAGGAAUAUUGGUCAAUGGGCGCGAGCCUGAACCAGCCAAGUAGCGUGAAGAAUGAAUGAUCUAUGGUUUGUAAACUUCUUUUAUAUGGGAAUAAAGUGAGGACCGUGUUCCUUUUUGUAUGUACCAUAUGAAUAAGCAUCGGCUAACUCCGUGCCAGCAGCCGCGGUAAUACGGAGGAUGCGAGCGUUAUCCGGAUUUAUUGGGUUUAAAGGGUGCGUAGAUGGUUAAUUAAGUCAGCGGUGAAAGUUUGUGGCUCAACCAUAAAAUUGCCGUUGAUACUGGCAGACUUGAGUAUAUUUGAGGUAGGCGGAAUGCGUGGUGUAGCGGUGAAAUGCAUAGAUAUCACGCAGAACUCCGAUUGCGAAGGCAGCUUACUAAACUAUAACUGACACUGAAGCACGAAAGCGUGGGGAUCAAACAGGAUUAGAUACCCGGGUAGUC